rnacentral:rRNA from 1 species
GACGAACGCUGGCGGCGUGCUUAACACAUGCAAGUCGAACGGAAAGGCCCUGCUUUUGUGGGGUGCUCGAGUGGCGAACGGGUGAGUAACACGUGAGUAACCUGCCCUUGACUUUGGGAUAACUUCAGGAAACUGGGGCUAAUACCGGAUAGGAGCUCCUGCUGCAUGGUGGGGGUUGGAAAGUUUCGGCGGUUGGGGAUGGACUCGCGGCUUAUCAGCUUGUUGGUGGGGUAGUGGCUUACCAAGGCUUUGACGGGUAGCCGGCCUGAGAGGGUGACCGGCCACAUUGGGACUGGGAUACUGCCCAGACUCCUACGGGAGGCAGCAGUGGGGAAUAUUGCACAAUGGGCGGAAGCCUGAUGCAGCAACGCCGCGUGCGGGAUGACGGCCUUCGGGUUGUAAACCGCUUUCGCCUGUGACGAAGCGUGAGUGACGGUAAUGGGUAAAGAAGCACCGGCUAACUACGUG